UACGUAGGGUGCAAGCGUUAAUCGGAAUUACUGGGCGUAAAGCGUGCGCAGGCGGUUCGCUAAGACAGAUGUGAAAUCCCCGGGCUUAACCUGGGAACUGCAUUUGUGACUGGCGGGCUAGAGUAUGGCAGAGGGGGGUAGAAUUCCACGUGUAGCAGUGAAAUGCGUAGAGAUGUGGAGGAAUACCGAUGGCGAAGGCAGCCCCCUGGGCUGACACUGACGCUCAUGCACGAAAGCGUGGGGAGCAAACAGG
rnacentral:rRNA from 1 species